AGUGAACGCUGGCGGUAGGCCUAACACAUGCAAGUCGAACGGCAGCACAGUAAGAGCUUGCUCUUACGGGUGGCGAGUGGCGGACGGGUGAGGAAUACAUCGGAAUCUACUUUUUCGUGGGGGAUAACGUAGGGAAACUUACGCUAAUACCGCAUACGACCUACGGGUGAAAGCAGGGGAUCUUCGGACCUUGCGCGAUUGAAUGAGCCGAUGUCGGAUUAGCUAGUUGGCGGGGUAAAGGCCCACCAAGGCGACGAUCCGUAGCUGGUCUGAGAGGAUGAUCAGCCACACUGGAACUGAGACACGGUCCAGACUCCUACGGGAGGCAGCAGUGGGGAAUAUUGGACAAUGGGCGCAAGACUGAUCCAGCCAUACCGCGUGGGUGAAGAAGGCCUUCGGGUUGUAAAGCCCUUUUGUUGGGAAAGAAAAGCAGAAGGUUAAUACCCCGCUGUUCUGACGGUACCCAAAGAAUAAGCACCGGCUAACUUCGUG
rnacentral:rRNA from 1 species